GCGCAGUGGACCUGUCAAUGGAGAGGGUUGUGUUGCGGCACUGUCACUUCUCAAACUUGGCCUUCGUUGGGCUACACCUUCCUGAUUUCGUAAGACCUUCAAUAGAAAGACAACAAUAAGACAGUCACAAACAUAUGCAUAGGCUACAACUCAGUAGCUACAUUCACAAACAUAUGCAUCACAGCUCUAUCAAUGACAACAGUUUUCAAGAAACUUGCAUAUGCAUUCAGCUCCAUUAGUGACAACAACGGACAGCAACCAAAUAUAGUGCAUCCUAGUACAAACAAACUUCAAUCAAGUUUCACAGCACACUACUACAUAGACAGAUGGCAACUAAAAUGUCAAUUCCUUUGCACUGGGAUCAUAAAACUAAAUAGGUUUUGAACUGAACCGUAUAGUAAUCACAGUCUCCAGGGUUACUGUACUCCAACCUUUUCAAAAUGACAAAAAAAGAGAGCAUUUUUUUAACCUCAAGAGAAGUGUCAAUAAUGGACAGCAACCAAAUAUAGUGCAUCUUAUUACUAAACAAUGACCAAUUGCUGCCAGUAGAGAACUCUCUGCUGCUGCUAGGGUUUCGACACCCGUACUGAAAGAAGUGUACAAGAUGCCGCUACCUUUUUCUGUGUAUUGCUUGAGCAAUGCACGUUGGUUGGGAGGCGCUGGGCUGGGAGGGAAACAGGAGGACGAGGCGGUGGGGCGGAUCUGGAAGACGAGGGAGGCGCCGGUCGAUGGGGAGAGAGGCGGCGCUGGAGUUGCUGGACGUCAAGGGGGUCUGGAGUGGCUGGACGGCGAGGGGGCGGCUGGACGUCGACAAGGCAGCGCUGGAACGAUGGAGGAGGCCGGAGGCGGCGGUGGAUUGGGGAUGGAGGCGGCGCGCUGGAGUGGCUGGAGGGGAAGGGGAGAG
rnacentral:lncRNA from 1 species